rnacentral:tRNA from 1 species
CGAGGAAUUCGGCCCUAAUCCAAGCCAGUCGGUAGCGACCGGAAGGGCCCAGAAGGCCCCCGGAGGUCGGAGGUUCAAGUCCUCCCUCCGCGGCCA